rnacentral:rRNA from 1 species
UACGUAGGUGGCAAGCGUUGUCCGGAUUUACUGGGCGUAAAGAGCACGCAGGCGGUCGUUCAAGUCGAAUGUGAAAGCCCCCGGCUUAACUGGGGAGGGUCAUUCGAUACUGAUCGACUUGAAGGCGGGAGAGGGAAGCGGAAUUCCCGGUGUAGUGGUGAAAUGCGUAGAUAUCGGGAGGAACACCAGUGGCGAAGGCGGCUUCCUGGCCCGUUCUUGACGCUCAUGUGCGAAAGCUAGGGGAGCAAACGGG